CUGCUUCCAGGAAAAGCCUCUAAGCAUCAGGUAACACGAAAUCGUACCCCAAACCGACACAGGUGGUCAGGUAGAGAAUACCAAGGCGCUUGAGAGAACUCGGGUGAAGGAACUAGGCAAAAUGGUGCCGUAACUUCGGGAGAAGGCACGCUGACACGUAGGUGAAGUGAUUUACUCAUGGAGCUGAAGUCAGUCGAAGAUACCAGCUGGCUGCAACUGUUUAUUAAAAACACAGCACUGUGCAAACACGAAAGUGGACGUAUACGGUGUGACGCCUGCCCGGUGCCGGAAGGUUAAUUGAUGGGGUCAGCGUAAGCGAAGCUCCUGAUCGAAGCCCCGGUAAACGGCGGCCGUAACUAUAACGGUCCUAAGGUAGCGAAAUUCCUUGUCGGGUAAGUUCCGACCUGCACGAAUGGCGUAAUGAUGGCCAGGCUGUCUCCACCCGAGACUCAGUGAAAUUGAACUCGCUGUGAAGAUGCAGUGUACCCGCGGCAAGACGGAAAGACCCCGUGAACCUUUACUAUAGCUUGACACUGAACAUUGAGCCUUGAUGUGUAGGAUAGGUGGGAGGCUUUGAAGUGUGGACGCCAGUCUGCAUGGAGCCGACCUUGAAAUACCACCCUUUAAUGUUUGAUGUUCUAACGUGGACCCGUAAUCCGGGUUGCGGACAGUGUCUGGUGGGUAGUUUGACUGGGGCGGUCUCCUCCUAAAGAGUAACGGAGGAGCACGAAGGUUGGCUAAUCCUGGUCGGACAUCAGGAGGUUAGUGCAAUGGCAUAAGCCAGCUUGACUGCGAGCGUGACGGCGCGAGCAGGUGCGAAAGCAGGUCAUAGUGAUCCGGUGGUUCUGAAUGGAAGGGCCAUCGCUCAACGGAUAAAAGGUACUCCGGGGAUAACAGGCUGAUACCGCCCAAGAGUUCAUAUCGACGGCGGUGUUUGGCACCUCGAUGUCGGCUCAUCACAUCCUGGGGCUGAAGUAGGUCCCAAGGGUAUGGCUGUUCGCCAUUUAAAGUGGUACGCGAGCUGGGUUUAGAACGUCGUGAGACAGUUCGGUCCCUAUCUGCCGUGGGCGCUGGAGAACUGAGGGGGGCUGCUCCUAGUACGAGAGGACCGGAGUGGACGCAUCACUGGUGUUCGGGUUGUCAUGCCAAUGGCACUGCCCGGUAGCUAAAUGCGGAAGAGAUAAGUGCUGAAAGCAUCUAAGCACGAAACUUGCCCCGAGAUGAGUUCUCCCUGAGACUUAGAGUCUCCUGAAGGAACGUUGAAGACGACGACGUUGAUAGGCCGGGUGUGUAAGCGCAGCGAUGCGUUGAGCUAACCGGUACUAAUGAACCGUGAGGCUUAACCUUACAACGCCGAAG
rnacentral:rRNA from 1 species